rnacentral:rRNA from 1 species
AUUGAACGCUGGCGGCAGGCCUAAUACAUGCAAGUCGAGCGAGCGGCGGACGGGUGAGUAAUGUAUGGGGACUGCCCGUUAGAGGGGGAUAACUACUGGAAACGGUAGCUAAUACCGCAUACUAUCGGAUUAACCUUAGGGGAUUAGCUAGUAGGUGAGGUAAUGGCUCACCUAGGCGACGAUGCCUACCUGGUCUGAGAGGGUGAUCAGCCACACUGGGACUGAUACAAGGCCCAGACGCCUACGGAGGCAGCAGUGGGGAAUAUUCCACAAUGGGCGAAAGCCUGAUGCAGCCACGCCGCGUGAAUGAAGAAGGCCUUCGGGUUGUAAAGUACUUUCAGUCGGGAGGCGUUACCGACAGAGAAAGCAACGGCUAACUCCGUGCCAGCAGCCGCGGUAAUUC